rnacentral:rRNA from 1 species
GACGAACCGUGCGAACGUUGUUCGGAAUCACUGGGCUUAAAGGGCGCGUAGGUGGCCCGGUCAGUUCGUGGUGAAAGCGCGGGGCUCAACCCUGCGUCGGCCAUGAAUACUGCCGCGGCUGGAGCACUGUAGAGGCAGGCGGAAUUCCGGGUGUAGCGGUGGAAUGCGUAGAGAUCCGGAAGAACACCGGUGGCGAAGGCGGCCUGCUGGGCAGUUGCUGACACUGAGGCGCGACAGCGUGGGGAGCAACAGGG